UACGGAGGGGACUAGCGUUGUUCGGAAUUACUGGGCGUAAAGCGCACGUAGGCGGAUUUGUAAGUCUGUCGUGAAAGCCCCGGGCUCAACCUGGGAAUUGCGAUGGAGACUGCAAGGCUUGAAUCUGGCAGAGGGGGGUAGAAUUCCACGUGUAGCAGUGAAAUGCGUAGAGAUGUGGAGGAAUACCGAUGGCGAAGGCAGCCUCCUGGGCCAACACUGACGCUCAUGCACGAAAGCGUGGGGAGCAAACAGG
rnacentral:rRNA from 1 species